UACGGAGGGUGCAAGCGUUAUCCGGAUUUACUGGGUUUAAAGGGUGCUUAGGCGGGCAUGUAAGUCAGUGGUGAAAUACCGGAGCUUAACUUCGGAACUGCCAUUGAUACUAUAUGUCUUGAAUAUUGUGGAGGUAAGCGGAAUAUGUCAUGUAGCGGUGAAAUGCAUAGAUAUGACAUAGAACACCGAUUGCGGAGGCAGCUUGCGACGCAAAUAGUGACGCUGAGGCACGAAAGCGUGGGGAGCAAACAGG
rnacentral:rRNA from 1 species